rnacentral:rRNA from 1 species
GACGAACGCUGGCGGCGUGCUUAACACAUGCAAGUCGAACGGUGAAGCGAGUGCUUGCACUCGUGGAUCAGUGGCGAACGGGUGAGUAACACGUGAGUAACCUGCCCAUCACUCUGGGAUAAGCACUGGAAACGGUGUCUAAUACUGGAUACGACCAACCCUUGCAUGGGGUGUUGGUGGAAAGAUUUAUCGGUGAUGGAUGGACUCGCGGCCUAUCAGCUUGUUGGCGGGGUAAUGGCCCACCAAGGCGACGACGGGUGGCCGGCCUGAGAGGGUGACCGGCCACACUGGGACUGAGACACGGCCCAGACUCCUACGGGAGGCAGCAGUGGGGAAUAUUGCACAAUGGGCGAAAGCCUGAUGCAGCGACGCCGCGUGAGGGAUGACGGCCUUCGGGUUGUAAACCUCUUUCAGCAGGGAAGAAGCGAAAGUGACGGUACCUGCAGAAGAAGCACCGGCUAACUACGUG